GACAGAGGUGCCGAGCGUUAGGCGGAAUCACUGGGCUUAAAGCGUGUGUAGGCGGAUGCCUAAGUACCUUGUGAAAUCCCACGGCUCAACCGUGGAACUGCUGGGUAUACUGGGUGUCUUGGGUCAUCUAGGGGCUGCCGGAACAAAUGGUGGAGCGGUGAAAUGCGUAGAUAUCAUUUGGAACGCCAACGGCGAAAGCAGGCAGCUGGGGAUGCACCGACGCUGAGACACGAAAGCCAGGGGAGCGAACGGG
rnacentral:rRNA from 1 species